AGGCGGUGGCUGCCGGAGUAAAACAGGCCAGCUGAGGUGCGGGACCUGGGCACGUGGUGGAAGUGAGGCAAGGCAUUUUGAGCGUCAUUGGGUGGGCAAGGAGCUUUCCAGCAAGGCACCGCGCCCUUUCCGCCUGAGAACUGUCGGAAUUACACAAUCCGCUGGAUCCUGCCUAGUUUCUGCAAGUGUUGUUCCCACCCGAGCCUGCGCUGCACGUCGGGAUUUGGAGUUCGAAAGGGACAUAAUUAGAAACAUUGGUUAUGCAACCAAGGCCCUUUCCGGAAUGUUAUAUUUGAGAACAACGCUCAUUCAAUCAAAUGGGCAGAUACUUCCAAGGAACUAAAGUUGACUUUAUGGAGCCAAUACUUACAAAGGCUUCCAGGAAAACUGGCUGCUACCUGACUUACAAGGCUCCCAGCUUCCAGAUCCAUUAAUACUCAAAUAAGCAGAGUUCUUGCUCAACAAGGACACUUGGAAUAAUAGUUCAUCAACUCGUCAACUGCAACAGGAGGUCAAUCAAUGAUGAAAACCACAGGUGCAUGUUAGUUGAUACAUGUUCUUUGUUUUCUUUGUAACUUUCAUAUUUCUUUUCACAUAACUUUGUUUUUUAAUAAAGGCAAU